rnacentral:rRNA from 1 species
UGGGGAAUAUUGCACAAUGGGCGCAAGCCUGAUGCAGCCAUGCCGCGUGUAUGAAGAAGGCCUUCGGGUUGUAAAGUACUUUCAGCGAGGAGGAAGGCGGUAAGGUUAAUAACCUUAUCGAUUGACGUUACUCGCAGAAGAAGCACCGGCUAACUCCGUGCCAGCAGCCGCGGUAAUACAGGGGGUGCAAGCGUUAAUCGGAAUUACUGGGCGUAAAGCGCACGCAGGCGGUCUGUCAAGUCGGAUGUGAAAUCCCCGGGCUCAACCUGGGAACUGCAUUCGAAACUGGCAGGCUAGAGUCUUGUAGAGGGGGGUAGAAUUCCAGGUGUAGCGGUGAAAUGCGUAGAGAUCUGGAGGAAUACCGGUGGCGAAGGCGGCCCCCUGGACAAAGACUGACGCUCAGGUGCGAAAGCGUGGGGAGCAAACA